GAUGAACGCUGGCGGCGUGCUUAACACAUGCAAGUCGAACGAAGCACUUUAUUUGAUUUCCUUCGGGACUGAUUAUUUUGUGACUGAGUGGCGGACGGGUGAGUAACUCGUGGGUAACCUGCCUUGUACAGGGGGAUAACAGUUGGAAACGGCUGCUAAUACCGCAUAAGCGCACAGCAUCGCAUGAUGCAGUGUGAAAAACUCCGGUGGUAUAAGAUGGACCCGCGUUGGAUUAGCUAGUUGGUGAGGUAACGGCCCACCAAGGCGACGAUCCAUAGCCGACCUGGGAGGGUGACCGGCCACAUUGGGACUGGGACACGGCCCAAGGUCCUACGGGAGGCAGCAGUGGGGAAUAUUGCACAAUGGGCGAGAGACUGAUGCAGCGACGCCGCGUGAGCGAAGAAGUAGUUAGGGAUGUAAAGCUCUAUCAGCAGGGAAGAUAAUGACGGUACCUGACUAAGAAGCACCGGCUAAAUACGUG
rnacentral:rRNA from 1 species